rnacentral:rRNA from 1 species
GAUCUGGCUCAGGGAUGAACGCUAGCGACAGGCUUAACACAUGCAAGUCGAGGGCAGCAUAGAAGUAGCAAUACUUGGUGGCGACCGGCGCACGGGUGAGUAACGCGUAUGCAACCUACCUAUCAGAGGGGAAUAACCCGGCGAAAGUCGGACUAAUACCGCAGUAAAACAGGGGCACCGCAUGGUGAUAUUGUUAAAGAAAUUCGCUGAUAGAUGGGCAUGCGUUCCAUUAGGUAGUUGGUGAGGUAACGGCUCACCAAGCCGACGAUGGAUAGGGGAACUGAGAGGUUGGUCCCCCACACUGGUACUGAGACACGGACCAGACUCCUACGGGAGGCAGCAGUGAGGAAUAUUGGUCAAUGGGCGGGAGCCUGAACCAGCCAAGUCGCGUGAAGGAAAAGAAGGAUCUAUGGUUCGUAAACUUCUUUUGCAGGGGAAUAAAGUGCAGGACGUGUCCUGUUUUGUAUGUACCCUGAGAAUAAGGAUCGGCUAACUCCGUGCCAGCAGCUGC